rnacentral:lncRNA from 10 species
GGAGUUUAUUAGGAGACUUGACUCACACGAUUACAAGGUGAAUUCCCACAAUAGGCCAUCUACAAGCUGAGGAGCAAGGAAGCCAGCCCGAAUUCCAAAACCUCAAAAAGUAGGGAAGCUGACGGUGCAGCCUUCAGUCUGUGGCCAAAGGCCCGAGAGCCCCUGAUAAAUCACUGGUUUAAGUACAAGUAUCUAAAAGCUGAAGAACUUGGAGUCUUUUGUUGGAGAGCAGGAAGCAUCCAGCACGGGAAAAAGAUAAAGGCCAGAAGACUCAGCAAGUCUCGUCAUUCCACUUUCUUCCGCCUGUUUAUUCUAGCCACACUGGCAGCUGAUUAGAUGGCGCCCACCCAGAUUGAGGGUAGGUCAGCCUCUCCCAGUUCACCGACUCAAAUAUGUUAAUUUCCUUUGGCAGCGCCCUCACAGAACACCCAGGGACACUACUUUGCAUCCUUCAAUCCAAUCAAGUUGACAUUCAAUAUUAACCAUCACAAAGACUAAGAAAAAACCUUGGAGUGACAGUGCAAUGAUCUAGAAGGCACCUGCUACCUUGAUGACUUUGUGGAGUCAUUAUUCCAGACUGAGUAAAUCUAUAUAAAAACGAAGAGAAAUCCACAGACCUUUUGAAGGAACUGGAUCACCACUGCAGGCUCCUCAAGACACCAAAAAACUGGAAGCAUGAUCGUGAUGGUGGAUCAUGGCAUUCCUCCAUAUAGAAAAGCUUGGAUAUUCCCAUUUCUUCAGAAUGAAUUUCCCGUAAGGUUUGCCACUUCUAGGUAAUGGAAAACAUUGGAAGACCAGAGAAUUCUUAAAUAUGAGUCCAUGAGUCCACUUUCUUGAUCUUUUCUUGGUUGAGGACUAUGUUGCUGAGAUACCAAGGAGACUAGUAAAACAUUUCUACUAAAAGUGCAGCCUGCUCACAAGCACUGGUUGCUAAACAACUAAUUACCAGUCUAGAACUAGAGAAAGUCAAAAAUUGAUAGAAUAUUUUAGAAACUUUUGUGGAAUUUUGACAUGGCUACCAUAUUCAAGUACAUUUUCAAUGGGUCCAUUUGUGGCUGAAAAUAUUAAGCAAGGUGUGACCCUUCUUGGAAAUGCCAUCAUGUGUUUAUGCUGACACCAAAACAGGCUCAUUGAUUUUCCAGCUUUCUAAUUCAUGCAAUCUCAGAUUUGAAAGGACACAACAAAAAUUUAGCCAAGAGUAAAUCUAAUUCUAAUAAAAUAUGGUCCAAAGAUAUGUUCAGCUUAUGAUUAAAGUAAAAUUUUAUUGUGACUUUUUUUAAGAAUCCAAGUGUUCUCCUACUUACCAGAGAAUGAUGAUUAAUGGCAUAUGUGAAUAAAUAUACCUGUGAA